UACGUAGGGGGCAAGCGUUGUCCGGAAUCACUGGGCGUAAAGCGCACGUAGGCGGCUUCUUAAGUCAGGGGUGAAAUCCUGGAGCUCAACUCCAGAACUGCCUUUGAUACUGAGAGCUUGAGUCCGGGAGAGGUGAGUGGAACUGCGAGUGUAGAGGUGAAAUUCGUAGAUAUUCGCAAGAACACCAGUGGCGAAGGCGGCUCACUGGCCCGGUACUGACGCUGAGGUGCGAAAGCGUGGGGAGCAAACAGG
rnacentral:rRNA from 1 species